GACGAACGCUGGCGGCGUGCUUAACACAUGCAAGUCGAACGGAAAGGCCCUGCUUUUGUGGGGUGCUCGAGUGGCGAACGGGUGAGUAACACGUGAGUAACCUGCCCUUGACUUUGGGAUAACUUCAGGAAACUGGGGCUAAUACCGGAUAGGAGCUCCUGCUGCAUGGUGGGGGUUGGAAAGUUUCGGCGGUUGGGGAUGGACUCGCGGCUUAUCAGCUUGUUGGUGGGGUAGUGGAUUACCAAGGCUUUGACGGGUAGCCGGCCUGAGAGGGUGACCGGCCACAUUGGGACUGAGGGACGGCGCAGACGGCUACGGGAGGCAGCAGUGGGGAAUAUGGCACAGUGAGCGGAAGCCUGAGGCAGAGACGCCGCGUGCGGGAAGACGGCCUUCGGGUUGUAAACCGCUUUCGCCUGUGACGAAGCGGUAGUGACGGUAAUGGGUAAAGAAGCACCGGCUAACUACGUG
rnacentral:rRNA from 1 species